rnacentral:tRNA from 1 species
AAAGUUGAAAUAAAACAUUAUAUUCAGUUUCGACCUGAAAUUAUAGUUAUUUAAUUAACUCUUCUUUA